rnacentral:rRNA from 1 species
AGGAUCAUUACUGAGUUCUUUGAAGUGGGGACUAUCUUGCAUCUCUCACCUUUGAUGCUGGCAAUAUCAUUUGUUGCAUUGUGCUCAAGGCUUUUCCUUUAAGGAUUUGAGGGGGGAGCAAAAUGGAUGCCCUGCUUUUUGAGAUUGCUCAUGUUCCUCUAACACCUGUGCACUACAAGCAAAGUUUUAUUCCUGCAAGUCAGCUUAUAUUGUGAAUUUGGCCAUGUAUUUGUUGCGUGUGGGCCCCCUAUCUAGUGUGGGUAUAGGUUUGCACAAUGCAAUAUAUGCAAUAUGUUCACAAAAGAUGAUUCAAAGGGGAUAGUGACUUUGUCUUCAUAUAAACCCUUAUAAAAUUGUCUUGUAGAAUGAAAGAGUAGCUCAAUUGUGAGCAGGAAAACUCAUACAACUUUCAACAAUGGAUCUCUUGGCUCUCGCAUCGAUGAAGAACGCAGCGAAAUGCGAUAAGUAAUGUGAAUUGCAGAAUUCAGUGAAUCAUCGAAUCUUUGAACACACCUUGUGCUCCUUGGGUUACCUAUGGAGCAUGCCUGUUUGAGUGUCAUGUUAAUCUCAAUUCCCUUGGGCAUUUUUUUGUAUUAACGAGAAAAGGCCUGUUCUUAGGGUUAUUGGAUUUGAGGGUUUAUGCAGGUUCCUUUUAUAGGGAAAUCAGCUCCCUCUAAAAAUAUUAGCUAGAGGAUGAAGCAAAAUGUCUCAGCAUUAUUCAUUGGCUCAUGGUGUAAUAAUUGUUUCAUCAUGAUGUUUUAUGUGUAGAGGUAUUUGUGACAUUCUCUGCAAUCUAAUUUGUCGGAUUUUUCUGGCAAUUCAUGCAUUCUCUUUGGCCUCAAAUCAGGUAGGACUACCCGCUGAACUUAAGCAUAUCAUUAAGCGGAGGAAAAGAAACUAACAAGGAUUCCCCUAGUAACUGCGAGUGAAGCGGGAAGAGCUCAAAUUUAAAAUCUGGCAGCUCUGCUGUCCGAGUUGUAAUCUGUAGAAGCAUUUUCUGCAUUGGACUGUGUACAAGUCUCUUGGAAUAGAGCGUCAUAGAGGGUGAGAAUCCCGUCCAUGACACAGACUACCAAUGCUUUGUGAUAUGCUCUCAAAGAGUCGAGUUGUUUGGGAAUGCAGCUCAAAAUGGGUGGUAAAUUCCAUCUAAAGCUAAAUAUAGGCGAGAGACCGAUAGCGAACAAGUACCGUGAGGGAAAGAUGAAAAGCACUUUGGAAAGAGAGUUAAACAGUACGUGAAAUUGUUGAAAGGGAAACGCUUGAAGUCAGUCACAUUCUGCAGAACUCAGCCUUGCCUAUUAGGCCUGGUGUAUUUUCUGUAGGAUGGGUCAACAUCAAUUUUGGUCAGUGGAUAAAGGAGGAGGGAAUGUGGCACCUGUGAAGGUGUGUUAUAGCCCUCUUUCAUAUACAUUGACUGGGAUUGAGGACUGCAGCAUGCCCUUGUGGCCAGGCUUUCAUGUCACAUGCUUAGGAUGUUGACAAAAUGGCUUUAAGCGACCCGUCUUGAAACACGGACCAAGGAGUCUAACAUGCCUGCAAGUGUUUGGGUGGAAAACCCUUGCGCAUAAUGAAAGUGAAAGUUGGGAACCUCCGCAAGGGGGUGCACUGACGCCCGGCCCUGAUGUUUACUGACGGUGCUGCGGUAGAGCAUGUAUGUUGGGACCCGAAAGAUGGUGAACUAUGCCUGAAUAGGGUGAAGCCAGAGGAAACUCUGGUG